rnacentral:rRNA from 1 species
GACAGAGGGUGCAAGCGUUGUUCGGAAUCACUGGGCGUAAAGGGUGCGUAGGCGGGUCUUUAAGUCAGGGGUGAAAUCCUGGAGCUCAACUCCAGAACUGCCUUUGAUACUGAAGAUCUUGAGUUCGGGAGAGGUGAGUGGAACUGCGAGUGUAGAGGUGAAAUUCGUAGAUAUUCGCAAGAACACCAGUGGCGAAGGCGGCUCACUGGCCCGAUACUGACGCUGAGGCACGAAAGCGUGGGGAGCAAACAGG